UACGGAGGGUGCAAGCGUUAUCCGGAUUCACUGGGUUUAAAGGGUGCGUAGGAGGGCAGGUAAGUCAGUGGUGAAAUCUCCAAGCUUAACUUGGAACUGCCGUUGAUACUAUCUGUCUUGAAUACCGUGGAGGUGAGCGGAAUAUGUCAUGUAGCGGAUGAAAUGCUUAGAUGAGUGAACAUAGAACACCAAUUGCGAAGGCAGCUCGCUACACGAAUAUUGACUC
rnacentral:rRNA from 1 species